AAUAUAUAUUUUUUAUAUUUUUAUUUUCUAUUUCUAAUAUAUAGUAUCUAUUAUAUUAUAUAGUAUAUAGAAGAAAAUUCUAUAGAAUUA
rnacentral:tRNA from 1 species